GCGCGCAUAGCUCAGGUGGUAGAGCAACUGACUUUUAAUCAGUGGGUCCCAGGUUCGAGUCCUGGUGCGCGCACCA
rnacentral:tRNA from 1 species